GGAGAGAUGGCCGAGUGGUCGAAGGCGCAUGCCUGCUAAGUGUGUAUACUCCAAAAGGGUAUCGAGGGUUCGAAUCCCUCUCUCUCCG
rnacentral:tRNA from 2 species